rnacentral:rRNA from 1 species
GAUCAUUGCUCAGGAUGAACGCUAGCUACAGGCUUAACACAUGCAAGUCGAGGGGCAGCAUGGUCUUAGCUUGCUAAGGCCGAUGGCGACCGUCGCACGGGUGAGUAACACGUAUCCAACCUGCCGUCUACUCUUGGACAGCCUUCUGAAAGGAAGAUUAAUACAAGAUGGCAUCAUGAGUCCGCAUGUUCACAUGAUUAAAGGUAUUCCGGUAGACGAUGGGG